rnacentral:rRNA from 1 species
CNGGUUACCUUGUUACGACUUCACCCCAGUCAUGAAACACAAAGUGGUAAUCGUCCUCCCGAAGGUUAGACUAACUACUUCUUUUGCAUCCCACUCCCAUGGUGUGACGGGCGGUGUGUACAAGGCCCGGGAACGUAUUCACCGCAGUAUUCUGACCUGCGAAUUACUAGCGAUUCCAACUUCAUGGAGUCAAAGUUGCAGACUCCAAUCCGGACUACAACUUCCUUAAGGGGGUCCGCUCCACAUCACUGUCUCGCUUCCCUCUGUAAAUGCCAUUGUAGCACGUGUGUAGCCCUACACGUAAGGGCCAUGAUGACUUGACGUCUUCCCCACCUUCCUCCGGUGUGUCACCGGCAGUCUCCUUAAAAUUGCCCAACUUGAAUUCUGGCAACU